CCAUCCCCCUAGAUGCUUGAGAGAAGAGGUUUCAAGUACCUCCUCCAUUUUCUCAGCUUUGACCUGAAGCAGAGGAUAAAGGAUUAUUGUUGUCGUUCAAAGCCAUCUGGAAAAGCUUUUUGUGGCAGUGCCGUACCAUUUCAAUGACCGUGAAACAGUGGGAGUAUGAGAACUUUACUGUGUCACUACAUUUAUAUGCCCUGCCUUAGCUGCUCUCUGUUACUUAACACUGUUCUUUCAAUGUUAGUUCAAAAUGGAUUUGCUGGUUUGCUGAGGUCACUGUUUUCCCUUACUGCUCUGAAGGCCACAAAGGUAAAAUGCUUCCCAUUCAUUGUUUUGCCGUUUUCGAUCUUUUAUUUCAAUUGUGUUCGUGCUUCAAUAAGGUUCUUGUCUUUACUCGUGAAAGCAAACGAAGUAAUAAAAAUGUUUUGUAACAGCUGUAAUAAGGUACAACAUAAUACAUAUAUAUAUAUCCUACAACAAGUAUUUCAGAAGCAUGUUCUCUUCUUAAUUUUACCGUGGAAUCAGGAAAAAACUGUCCUGCCAGUAACACAUUAAAGCUUGUGAUCAGAUUGCCACAAUUUUACUCCCAGAUUUUUUUUCAUCUUGCAACAGCAAAUGAGAACUUGUGGUAUGUUUAUAGAUGUAACACGCUCAGGUUGUAAGCUCUCUUCAUUUUGAGAUCUGUAUCUGAGCUGUAACAGAAAUUUUUGUCACACUAGUGUCUCAAAGACUAAAUCAUGGAGUUGCUUGCAAUUCUGUAAUGUAUUAGACAAUCUGAUCCCAAUUAGAUUACUAACUGCAGUACAAACCACAGACAUCAGUUCCUAGCUAGCACGCCCACAUUAUUUCUAGAUGGUGUAUUCUAUUUAUCUUCAUUUUCAGCGAUUUCACUGCAGCUUUAUAAUUAAACCUGUCUCCGACAUCGCAGGGAAAGGAAAAGUGCUCUGUAGUCAUGGCCAGUUGGACAUCCUUAUGUGUUAGGAAGAUGUUGCAGUGAUAGCUGUUCCACAUCGUUUCUGCAUUUUGUUAUAACAUACAGUGUUCUAGAGUUCAAGCUACAGAGUACUUGGCACAACUGAGUGAAUUGCCUUGAUUGAUACCAUUUCAUAUGUCAUGGCUUAUUAGUGAUUUUUAAUUUAAGGAUUAUUGGGCUGAUUACACUCAACAGUUAUUUCUGUGAAUUCAACAAAGCUUUUGAAAUUUAACUCCUUUAGGUUCUUUAUUUGUAUGUCAUGGCCUUAUUCUUCAAAUACAGUUUGAAAAAUAAAUAAAAGACCAUAUGUAGAUAACACAGCAGUUGUGCAGUGCAUGUAGAUCCCUGUAUGGGAGCCUUACAAAUUUGAAUGCUCAGGAAUGAAGGUGCUCAAAAGGCCUAUUGCAUGUAAAGUUUAGUGGGCAUGGUGGUGGUGAAUUAAUGGUUGUAGUAGAUGAUCUUAGAGGUCUUUUCCAGUCUUUAUGGUUCUCUGAUUCUAAAUUCACUCAACAAUUAGGAAGCAUCAGGAUUAAAAUUCCUGCAUAAAAAUAUGCAUUUACGGGGAUUUUUUGAAAGGUAUCAGAACUCACUGUGAACUCUUGGAAAAAACAGCCAAGCACUGCUCUGCAUUUUGCAUAUCUUUAUAAUUUUGAAAGUAAUAGUCCAAGGUAUUUUAGUGGGAGUUAGCCUUCGGUGAUUUUCUACCAGUAUUGAGCACAAUAGAUACACCAAAAUCAUUCUGCAGUACUAUACAACUUGUCAGAAUUGUGGAUUUUGUUUAGAAGUUUAGGGGAUUUUCUGCAGAACCUAAACCUGAAAAAAAAAGGUAUAGGAGUGUCUCAAAGCACAUAAAUUUUAAGUUCUUCACAGAAGUGAGGCACGAGUGAAAAAUUACCAGACGUAUAAAGUUCUUUAGAAGAGAAGAAACAGGUGCUCUUUGCUUUUGAAUGACUAAUCUAAAUCCAAAAGUAUUAUUUUUUUUUCAGGCUAAGCAUGAGUUUCUUUCAUUUUUCAGUCCUGAGCCAAGUCUUUACUCUUUGAAGAUGUCAUUAAAACCACCUCAAGGUCUCUCUGCCUCAAACUGUGUGAUUUUCAGCAAUUGCUUAAAGGUACAGCUAAACAAUGACAUAAGUUGGUGCUACAAGGUGGUUAAUUAAGCAAUGUGAAGAGCAAUGAAUUAAUGUGCUAUCCAUGUAAGUGUCUUUCUGAUAACUACUUGGUUUGCAAUUAUGCCUGGUUUAAUCUGAUGAUAAUACCUAAGAAGUUGUGGCUUCUUAAAAUGACCUUUGUUUUGGGAAAAACACGGGUGUCUGUGCUUUACUAAGGGUUUUGUUGAUUUAUUUUUGGGUUUGUUUUUUUGGCUUAGGUUUGAAUGAACCACUGACUUAUGCAAAUAGAUACGUUAACAUGGAAGAUAACAUGCUGUCUUUUAUUUAAAAGGAAGAAUGGAGGACCACGCUGAACAUUGGCUGUUCCAAAGUUAAUAGUUGAACAAUGCAUUUAACUGCAUUGUCUUGUAUUUUUAGCAACAUUUGGGCUAUUCAGAGUUCUUUGGAUUAUAGAUCACUUUUACAUUACAGAAGGGGAUAAUGCAUCUCUCUAUUACUACUGAUGGAUGUCUCAAAUUAAAUGUAUGUGCUUAACGUCCAUGCUUUGAAGGUUAACGACCUUGUGAUAGAGAAAUGGAGACUGACUUUCGCUGUCCUGUGCUAAAAUUCCCUUUAUCUUUCACCGGUGUGCUUUGCUACAUAUAUUGACUUGUGGAAAGUCCUUUGAUGAAAGGUAGUAACAGGAGGGGUAUUGCGACUUUAUUUCUUGCCGGGUAAAUCCUAGCUGACCCUAUUACCAUCAACUCCUUUCUUUCAAGGAACAAACUUCUAGGGGGUGGGAGGGUGAAUAGUUUCACUCAUAAUGCCAUGUUUUCCACCGAUCAGAAGCAUCUUUGAUUCCCAAAUGUUGUUGGAAAUAAAAUUCUGACUAAAUUUAAUUUCAGUUCACGGUAUUUAGGAGAGACUACUUCAAGCAAUUAAGCAAGCGUUCAUUUUUCCUAGUCUGGUAUGCAGUCAUAGGAACGCAAGGAAUUUGUUGAACCUAAAAUAACGUAUUGAAUGUUCUUCUAGUUAUUUCAGAAGAUAACUUCAUUAAGUCUUGCUUUUCCUCAUUCUUUAAUUUUUGUAUAAGGAUUGACAACAGUGGAGAUAACUCCAGCUGAAGUGCUCCAACAGCAGGAGUCUAGAGGAACAUACAGGAAUAGUCUCAUUUGGAUUUCAGAUGACUGCUCGUGUCUUUAACCAGUGUCAUGCUUUUCCUUCAAACACUGUCUCCAUACUGUCAUCUGUGCCUUUGUAAUUGUACUGUGGAGGUGAUUCUAAAAUGCUAAAUUUUAUGGCAAACCAGUAUGAUGAGCUACAAAUGAUUGAGCUCAAAUUGUGCCAAAAUAGUUACAUCUCUAGCAUUAAGGAAAGCCCUUACAGGCAAACUGUCUGUGUGUUCUGGGUUUCUAAAUACUGGAAAUGAAUUUGUUCCAAAUUUGGGUAGAAUUAGGUCUCGGAAAAGUGGUUUGCUUGAAAAAUGGAAGGAUGGUUUUUGGCUAGGUAGUGGCCUGCUGUUCAGAGCUCCCAUGUGACUCUGAGUUCUCUCCCCUCACUGGAUAUUGAGCAUUGACUGUGCAUGAAGGGGGACCUUCUGUUAGAAACUGUUGCAACAGACUCAUCCAAAAGAACCUGAAUCUGCCAAAGAAGGAACUUCAACCUUUUGACCUCAUUGAGACCAAAUGAUCCCUGCUGAAAUGAGCCGUUUCUUCGAGAAAGUCUGGGCUGGAUCUGAGAAUUUCCUUUCAGAAUUGAUAAAUACCACAAAUUCUUGAUCAAAUUUACUUGCUAGUCAAAACAUAAUAUUGAUUGAGAAACAAAAAAAAAAAAGUGUUGUAUAUUGCUUGCAGUUAGUACUUUUUUAUGAGAUACUGUGAACAAAACAGAUCAAGAUAGUAAUGCAGGUUAUUGCUUUGCCUUGUUUUGCCAGUCAUGCAUUCAGAUAUUACCACAGGCAAAAACAAUUUCAUGGCCCCUGAUAUAUCUGCAUCACAUCCUGUUUGAAAACCAAUAAAAAGAUUGAGUGAUGUUCCUGGGAAGGAACUGUAACGUUGAGAAGUCCUUAGCUCUGUAACCAAAGAUUUUAAUCCUUAUACUGUUGGACAUUUCUUCCCAUCUGUAAAUUGAGAGAAAUGAUUUUCAGAAUUAAAUCAAAUUUUAAGACUGCAAAUUAUAGUAAAGUUGCAAGUUAUAGUAUUUCUACUUAAACAUUUAAUGGGUUGCCAUAGAGAACUCUACUGUGCUUAAAUUAAAAUGGCACUAUCCAAAAGAACUAAGCUAAUAUUUCUUGGCUACAGAAACCAGAUGAAUACAAUCAGUGCACUCAGUGGGAAAUGAAAAGGGAAAAUAUUCUCUUGGUUUGGGUGAUUUCAGGUGUGUUCACUUGCCCUUUUGUGUGAUCUUUACGUGUAAAAUGUCUUUUAUUUCCUAUAUGCAAGUUUGUUUUGUGAACACUGUUUUCUUUGUUGUCUAUUUUGAACCAUCUUCGUUUCCUGCAGUUUCCAAAAAAUCAGCUGACUUUUAGGUAGUUGAUGCUCUAGACGUUAUUGCCAUAUGACUACAAGUUACUGAUGGAAAUUCAAACACAUCCUCCUGGGUUUUAUUGCAUGGCUCAAAAAGCCUAACUGCAGUUUUGGCCUCUUGUAUAGCGGCUGUGUAGUGUAACGAGAAGAAAAACCUAAUCACUGAUAUCUUUGUUAAAACUUCUUCACAGAGUGUGGUGCGCACAGUGCAGGAGUGGAUGUGAUGAAUCCUGCAGGCAAACAGAACUGUCCUUGUUUGCAGAAAGGACUGUUUUAGAUUGUAACAGUUAUUGUGCUGCUCAUCCAGUUCACUGCAGAUAUUUUUCCCUUACCAAACUAAUAUUUGAGUUCAAAUGUUCACUCUAAUGUCAGGACCUGAUAUAUUUUUACUUCCCCCUUUCUCUUAAUUUUAUUGAUUUUUUUCUAAGCCAAACAUUCCAUAAAUUAGUUCUAUUAGAAGGCUUAUUGUGGAAUGUGAUAUAAUUGGCAACUGAUUGUUGAUGUAGGAGAUUUAUGUUGGCCUUACAGUAAUAGUUUCUUAUAAUUGAAUACAUAUGUGAUUUCCAGUGUCUAGACUUGGGAACUUUCCCAGGAAGGAGUUCCAGGUGGUUAUCUAACUGUAAUAAGCCAAAUGGCUACCACUCAGUCUGCAGACAUGGGAAAUAUGCAAAUACUACUGGCAAACGUAAUUAUUUCAUAAAUCUGCAUUUAAAUCACAAUAUAUCCAUUUACAUCUAAUGGUUUGACCAGCUUAUUCGUUUUAUAGAUUCAUUUAGAAUCUUUUUUUUUUAAACCUGAAACUUUCUUUCCCUCGAUUACUCCCUAAACUGAAAUAAUAUAAAAUGCAGAGGUGAGAAGUUCUUGAUAUGCCCGGAUGUCAAAAAGCUUUAACUAUGUUACAUGCCUGAGUUAGUUGCAUUAGUAUAUGAAGUAGUAAGUGCUUGAAGUAGCAGUUACAUUGCCAUAUAUUGAACUAAUUCCAUGAAAUCUGAUUAGGUAUAGUUAAGUGACAUGGCAACUUGAGUUUUCAUUUGCUAGCAGACUGAUUUCUGGAAGGAUCUCAGAAAGGAAACGUGUCUGGAAGCUGCACAGCCUACUAAAGCAUGUGGUGAUUUGAUAUUGUCCUGAUCCCAGUUUGCCUUGAACAUGCUUUGCACGCUAAAACAUCCCUGGAGAAGGAAAACACAGUUGGCUAUCCCAGCGUGAAUACUCUGCAAAUAUUGUUCUGGGGCCCGCACAGCCUGUGACUCACAAUGAAUAUUUUCAGCUCUGGUUCUUACAGUACAAUAGGAAAUACAAAGGAAAAUAAGUAAUUUGCUGGGGCCUAACACAGUGUGACUUGAUCAUUGUGCUUCAGAGAACAGAAGAGCUACAUUAGCAGAAGUGAAAAGUCCUUUCAAUUCAGAUUUCAUAUGCCAGAUGGCUGGCUCUUGUUCUUAUGUUUUGGUGGUGGUGGGUUUUUUGUUGUUGUUGUUAUUUUUGUUGUUGUUGUUUUUCCUUUUAUCCUACCUGUUAAGAUAGCAAAGAAUGACAUACGUUAUCUGGCUCUGCAGCCAAGUGUGUGGUCCAAAUUAUUUUCACAGAAUGCCUGGAAAAGUCUGCUUGCUUGCCUGCCUGCCUCAAUCAUUUUUCUCAACUAAUUAGAAAAGUCUGCCAAACAUUUUUGGGCUAAGGCACUAAUUAUUCUCAAACAAAUGUUUCAAUUUUGCACAAGUUAGGAAGUGUCUCUGUAUUAAAUGACUGCAUGCCAAGAUGCCAGAGUAGUCAGUCUGCUUUUGUUUAUCAGUAUGUCUGGAAGUCCUGUAGGACCAAGGAAAAAAACUUAAAAGCACCAUUUUCAAGCAGAGAUCUGUAGUGUUUAGUGAUGUUAAAGGAAAUAAUACUGCAAUACUUACUUUGUACGUGUUAGCUUUUAAUGAGAAAUAGGUCUAUUUUCCUUCUGGAAAUGCUGUUUCUUGUGAUGUUUGUAAUUGCAUUGGUCCUCAGAUUCUGUUGUUUCUGGCAGAGAAUAAAAGGAAAUCUUGUAGUUUUUCAUGCCAGACUGGCCUAUCUAACCCUGUCUCAGCUUUUAUGGCCCAGUCUUCAACACCCUAUUUCAGCAUUAAAGAAGAUGGUCCCUCGUGGCAAGGGCAUUGGAGAGUCAUUCUUUGUAAAAGUUCAAGUUGAAUUUGGCAAUCUGAAGAAAUUUGAAUGGUUUAAUGAGGCCUAUAGCUUGUUUUCCAAGUAAUGGUCUGGACCUGGAUUCUGUGUUUCCCUUCUCGGAAGUGGUGGUGGUCUUCUGGAACAGUCUCAUCCUACCUCAGGUCUGGAAAUGUAUUGGUCAUGCUGAUUUAUUUGUGACAAGGUUCACAGUCUGAUAGUUUGUUAUGUCAGUGAUAAGAUAUAUGCCUCUGAUUAGCUGUAUCUCUGCUGAUGCUGCUAAACUUCUGCCAUCUGUCUUUCAAAUUGUUUGUCCUCAUCCCAAAAGUUGCUCUGUAAGAAGAUGGUAGAUUGCCAUACUUAGGAGUCUUUUUGACUUCUGUUGGAUCUGCCCAUGUAUAACCAACAAAAAAUAGUUUCCACCAACUGCCUUCCUCUGUUUUUUGAAAGUAGGGAAAAUGUUUUUUUUUUGUUUUGUUUUUGUUUUUCCAUGGAAAAAUACUGUUGGAGCAGCCCUCGUGUUAUUUUCUAAAGAUGACGAGAGAAACUCAACAGUUUAUUUCACAGAGUUAAGUGAAAUGAUUUACUUAUGAGCCAAUGAGUUUGUUUUUUAGAUCUGUGCUAGCACAAAAUUGCUGGAUUAAGGUGGUGGGCUUUUUAGUUUUGUUUCUUGAAGCAUAUAUUAAGGGGGAGGACAAAAUGAAAGAAUGAAACCAUCAGAAUGGCAGCAGAACUUGGAACAUUUCAUUACUUGAUUUAUUUCCAGAAGCCACCUGUGCCAAGGCAGAAAAUGUGCUUAAAUACUACAGUAUUUGUACCUCUUUGAACAAUUAUUCGUAUUAGGGUAAUUAAGUAGUCAUAAUUUGUAUUUGAAUAAUGGAUUAUAUGUGUUUUCUUUGCAAUAUUUCCCUUCCUUCUUUAGGGAAAAUAUUGAAUCUGGUUUGUGAGUGCUUUCUACCAUUAAUUACUUUUUGCCCUGAUCUGCACCCACUGGCUUAAUUGCCAUCUGUCUGCAUAGUGUGCAGUGUGUGCUUUUUUAAAAUAAAAUAAUAAUAACAAAUGUAAAUUGUUUGUAAAGAGGAGAUGCAUCACGUGACUCUGAAAAGAGUUGGCUCUGGACAAUGCUGGCUGCUCCUGGCAGUGGCUGUGCUACAGGAGUGCUUGCAGACAGAAGAUGUCAAGUGAAGACAUUGCAAAUAUGGCAUUCCUGGUUCUUUAGCAUGAUGUAGAGCAAAAGACAAAGGGGCUGUGAAUCCUAGAGUGUCUCUCAUGGUUCAGUCCAUAGUCAUCUCCUACAUGGCAAGGAAGCUUUUAAGAAAACAGAGCUUAGAAAACUUUUCUUUUUCUAUUUUGUUCAUUUCCUUCUUGUCCUUUCAGUGCACAGUUAUUUGCUAGAUAAUUCUCCCUGCUGGUUUCAACUCGAUCCUUUUGAGUGCAUGAAUCUUUCUUUUCAACAUCAGUCACACAGUCUAAACCUUGCGAUGACCUCUAAAUGUACUAAACAUUUGGUAACCCUUCUUGGCUUUCUUGACAUUUGGAUGUCUGCGGAUUUAGCCUUCUCUUGAGGGGCAGAGGAACACGGUGGAGGAUCUGAAUUUGUUCAAGGUGGUAGCUGUUAUCCAAGACCAGCAAGGACCUGGUGGCAGCAAGAAUGUCAAGAUACCUAUAGCCAUGCAGAGGCAGCUGCCCAUAGAUGACUUGGAUCUUCAUUUUUUUGUGUGAAAUUGAAAUUUAUGGAUGUCCUCAGAGCAUGGCACAGUUAUGUUAAUUCUAGAAGAAAGUCUGAAGUUCUCUCACCCAGAUCAACAGAAUUUUUAGAAGUAAAACAAGAUGUCUGAUGAGAUGCAGUCAAUCUGUUGUGAGCAAUGAGUAAACAAAUCCCUCUGAUGGAGAGGAGGGAAGCCCUGCUACAGAAACUGCCAGCUGGUUGGUUGGUCUUUGCUGACCUCUGCUCGGCUCUGAAAAGAUUUGCCUUUAGAAGACCUCCCAGCAGUCCACUAAAUGCAGUUUGCUACUUGAAGUUUUAUAGCUGUGCUGCUUGAGAUGGACUAUUCUUUUACAUAUAGUACUGAGCUGUGAUGCAAAUUUUCCCUAUAAAGAGGCUUCUUUCUAGAUGAAAGAGUUGAUGAAGCUUCAAAAGUGGUUCCAUACUCUAGGAGAUGUGUGAUAGUACUGUCCUGGUUUGAGCAACCUGAACUGCAGAUGUCACUCUUCGUGGGAACUCAACCCUUUUGUUGCCUGCAGCAUCGGACUGCACAAACUACACAAUUCUUUACCCCAUGGAAGUGUCAGGAGGAAAUGUGGGCUGUGAUGAUCAAAAACAAAAGACUCUUUGGGAUCUUCGACCUUGUGCAAUUAAAGGUCUCCCUUCAAUACCUACUUCAUCAUUUAAUGUCUGUGGUGCCAAUAAUGUGCUGGUGCUUUGGUAUGGUAUCAACUCCAAGGGAAGAGUGCCACCUACUGAACUACCAGUUCUCUAUUUUGUGACAUAUAUAUCUGCCAGUUUUUCACCCAAAAUACUGACCAAAUCCUGUCUUGUGUAAGACAUGCAAUAUCAAGGCCUUGACAUGGCAUAUCCAAAUGUGUGAUGUUCCCAGUGUGGAUGAGAUCACUGUGCUGUGGCACUUGGAAACAUAAUCCUUUCCUCCUUUGUGGAUGUUUGAACGUGGAUUUUAACACGAUAAUUAUAAAAGACUGCAAUAAAAAUGAAGUUAGUAACAACCCACAUAAUGUUACUGUUAUCUGACCCUGAUUUGAACUCUCCACUGCUAUAAAAGCUAAAAUAUACUGCUAAUGAUUUCUUUGAAAAUAUGCUAAUAAUUAAUGCAUUAUUUCAGUCUUAGUCUCAUAAAAAUUAGAAAUGUCUUUAAAAAGAAUUAAAACAAUAAAGCUUUUUGUGCUUCCUCCUAGAUACUAAAAUGCAUUUUUUCAAAGUCUCUCAUGCAAAGAAAUUCAAUUAUCCUUCUAUAAACAUGGGUGGAAUAAUGUAUAUAUUUUUCCCAUAAAUUCUUUAUUCCAGCAUGACUUCAAUUGCAGAUCUUUCUAUGAUUUUCCCUACUAAAUCUUUCUUUUGGCAAAGCAAAGGGGAAAAAUCCAUCUUUGGAAAUGAACAUGCACGUGUCCAAAGAAAAAUGGGACUACUUCAGUUUUGUAGAAAAACUGAAUCUCAGAGAAUGACUAUUUUGGAAGAAUUUCAGGUAAAACUUCAGACUUUUUGUUCAAGGUUGGUAACUCAUAUUCCCGUGGAUCAUUUGGAUUAAAGGAUGAGUAAGGUAACAGUGUGAAACUGGCCCAAAUAUCUCCAGAAUAUAAAGCCUGGUGUCUUAAUGCCGCUGCUGGAAAAUGAGGUACUGUAAUACCAAUUAAAACAUAAGCAGUGAGUCUUUUUGAUGGGAAGAAGUGCUCUGAAAAUUCUUUACAAGCAUUUCCUCAUACUUGCAUCAUAGUCCUUUUGUGAUUUUUUACAAGCAAACUUCUGCAUCUGAAAACUCAAGCCAUUACAGAAUCUACCUGUAUUUCAUCUUAUUUUUUUCACUCACCUAAAAGAAUUAGCUCAUAGAUCCACUUCUGUUCCUCCCUGGCAAUUAGAGCUGCUGCUGAAGAUCUGUACAACGAGAAGUGCCUAGAGUAUAACACAGUGCUAAGUGCUCACCCUCAACUCUGUGGUCCUGGGUAACUUGGGAUGCAACUUCUCAUUGAGCCCUCUUGUAGCUUAACUGCAAUGACACUGCUUAAGGCAUGCUGAACUCAUUAAUCUGCUGUUGGAAAAGAACAGCUGACAUAACCAUUCUUAAUUUGUUAUGAAGCAGAAAAAUUGAUAUAAACAAGCUGUUGUAAUGCAUUUUUUUAAUGCCUUUUUCUUUGCUCUCCUCCACAGUUUCCUUCC
ensembl:lncRNA